CUCAAGCCUGAUAUUGUUGAGGCAUUGGUUUGCACUAGAAAUUGGUUAUAUGGAGAGUAAGAACAAACUUCAAUGAAGGUGGAUAACGAAAAAGAGGAUGUUUUGACAUUCGAUAGUAGUAGUUCCUGUAUUGGAGUUGAAUGACAAAGAUGGGCAUGUCAAACUAACCUACGUUGGACUCAAUCUGAU